UACGAAGGUGGCUAGCGUUGCUCGGAAUCACUGGGCGUAAAGCGCACGUAGGCGGAUCGUUAAGUCGGAGGUGAAAUCCUGGAGCUCAACUCCAGAACUGCCUUCGAUACUGGCGAUCUUGGAGUCCGGGAGAGGUGAGUGGAACUCCGAGUGUAGAGGUGAAAUUCGUAGAUAUUCGGAAGAACACCAGUGGCGAAGGCGGCUCACUGGCCCGGUACUGACGCUGAGGUGCGAAAGCGUGGGGAGCAAACAGG
rnacentral:rRNA from 1 species